rnacentral:RNase_P_RNA from 1 species
AGAGUUGGCGAGAUGGUUGCAGGCUGCCCUGGCGGCAGUGCUGAGGAAAGUCCGGACUCCCAAAAGACCAGACUUGCUGGUUAACGCCCAGUGCGAGUGAUCGUGAGGAGAGUGCCACAGAAAUAUACCGCCGACGGGGCAAGCUCCGCUUGUCACGCCUGGUAAGGGUGCAAAGGUGCGGUAAGAGCGCACCAGCAGCAUCGUGAGGUGCUGGCUCGGUAAACCCCGGUCGGGAGCAAGGUCGGAGGGGCAAGGGUUGGUCUUUUUCCUGUCCCGCUUUUGGUGAACCGCUCGAGGUGGCUGGUAACAGUCAUCCUAGAUAGAUAACCAUCCGCGUCGGCUAUUGCAGUAGGCGUGAACAGAAUCCGGCUUAUGUCCAACUCUUUUC